GACGAACGCUGGCGGCGUGCUUAACACAUGCAAGUCGAACGGAAAGGCCCUGCUUUUGUGGGGUGCUCGAGUGGCGAACGGGUGAGUAACACGUGAGUAACCUGCCCUUGACUUUGGGAUAACUUCAGGAAACUGGGGCUAAUACCGGAUAGGAGCUCCUGCUGCAUGGUGGGGGUGGGAAAGUUUCGGCGGUUGGGGAUGGACUCGCGGCUUAUCAGCUUGUUGGUGGGGUAGUGGCUUACCAAGGCUUUGACGGGUAGCCGGCCUGAGAGGGUGACCGGCCACAUUGGGACUGAGAUACGGCCCAGACUCCUACGGGAGGCAGCGGUGGGAAAUAUUGCACAAUGGGCGGAAGCCUGAUGCAGCAACGCCGCGUGCGGGAUGACGGCCUUCGGGUUGUAAACCGCUUUCGCCUGUGACGAAGCGUGAGUGACGGUAAUGGGUAAAGAAGCACCGGCUAACUACGUG
rnacentral:rRNA from 1 species